AUACUUACCUGGCAGGGGAAAUAUCAUGAUCUUGAAGGUGGUUUUUCAGAGUGAGGCUCAUCCAUUGUACUGCUGGUGUGCUGACCCCUGUAAUUUCCCCAAAUGUGGGAAGCUCAACUGCAUAAUUUGUAGUAAUAGAGAACAGUAUUCACACUCUCCCCUG
ensembl:snRNA U1 U1 spliceosomal RNA